UAUCUAAAGGUUUAUUCAUCAAAUGCUACAACAUACAGAAUGCAACGAAUCACCUGUCAUGAGCUUGCAGAAUAGAAAUACAAAAAUGACCAGUUAUAAAGUUAAAAUAAAUGCACAUCGCGUGUUAUGCACGUAAAGGCGUCAGUAAAACUCAAGUAGCUAAUUGCUUUUAAAUAAGAACAUGCAUAAGCAAACUGGUGCAGUUGCACAAGAACCACGUGAGAAUGAGGGACUGUUACAAAAGCACUAACGCAGAUCAAAAACAGCAACAACCUUCACUGGAGCACGACAGUGUCGCAUUGUGUAAUUAUUUAUCAGAAACUAUGAUAACAAUGUCAUAGGCGUUUAGAAUGAAUACGGGACGAUGCAUUUCGCCGACUUCCUUGCAGGAUCAGUUGGAGGAGCAUGUGGUGUGGCGGUCGGUUAUCCACUGGAUACUGUCAAAGUCAGAAUCCAAACUCAGAGACAGUUCACUGGAAUCUGGCACUGCAUCGUAACCACCGUUAAAAGAGAAGGGGU